rnacentral:rRNA from 1 species
CCUCCAAGGCUAAAUACUCCUGACUGACCGAUAGUGAACCAGUACCGUGAGGGAAAGGCGAAAAGAACCCCGGCGAGGGGAGUGAAAAAGAACCUGAAACCGUGUACGUACAAGCAGUGGGAGCACCCUUUUGGGUGUGACUGCGUACCUUUUGUAUAAUGGGUCAGCGACUUAUAUUCUGUAGCAAGGUUAACCGAAUAGGGGAGCCGGAGGGAAACCGAGUCUUAAUUGGGCGUUAAGUUGCAGGGUAUAGACCCGAAACCCGGUGAUCUAGCCAUGGGCAGGUUGAAGGUUGGGUAACACUAACUGGAGGACCGAACCGACUAAUGUUGAAAAAUUAGCGGAUGACCUGUGGCU